AUCGAGAGACAGAGAGAGAGAACCAGAGUUCUCUGACCCGAAACAGCAACCUGCGACCCGAAGAAGCGACCGGCCGGCGCUCCCCAGUCCGGCAACUCCAUGACUGCGCACGGGCACCCACGAAUUCGUCUCUACUUCGCCUACGUCGCUGUGUCCUUGGAUCGACCAUGCACUGAACGGAGAAGAAAACCCGACGACGAGAAGCCCAAACCUUCAUCGGCAACCUCUGCAAUUUCCGGCGCCUCCGGCCACCUUCUGGGCCGUCUGUGCAACUUUCCCGGCUCUCCUUGGCUUGUCUCGGCCUCACCUGCAACUGUAGACAAGGUAUUAGGCAGCUUGCUGGGUAGAUCACGUCGACACCCUCAGUUCAUCACCAACCCAGUUUCGGCAGUGAGCUCAGGAAGCUGAGUUUGGGUUGGUUUAAGGGAUCUCCUCUAUUUCGAAGGACUCCAGUUACCCGAGGAACGGAAGGUUCGUGACUCUCGGAGUAUGUGAGAGAAAGCAUUGGAAUCCAGUAUGGAUGCAGGUACUGUGCACUGGUGACGGGACAGUAGCGGACGGAGUCGGGUGUGCGGAAAAAGUUCGGUAAACAUUAUUUGGAUGCUGUUUUAGAAUCUAUUUCUCGAACUCCGUGUUUCGGAACUAGUGGUUAUUUAGCAUCGUGUCAAUUUUAGUUGAAUUCUCUUUCAUUGAAAUUCAUACCUCGUGUGAUCCUUAUCCAAGUACUGGAUGAGUGAAAUAGAUUUCAGCAACUCUAGUUUUUCACCUCAAAAAUAUCGAUAGCUUCCGCUGUGUUUUGCAAAAAGUUUUCUAACAAAAUGCCUAGCGGUCCUCUAGAAUGUGAAUCGAGCUUUCGGUUUAUAUUUUAGAGCCUCGCGGCACUGUGACGUGCCCAAGCUGGUGAGGUGCGGUUUGGGGCUCUACAGAAAGUGGUAUCAGAGCAAUGCUUUCGAGUUUUCGAUUUCAACGAUUUAAAAACCUCUGAUACCCGAAAAAGUUUCUGUCGGCUCGUGAAAAUUUCCAAGUCCUAGUAACAAGUCGACUUGGGAAAUGCUUGUUUGAGAACGUGUUUCUGAACCUUUGACUUGGAACUGUUUGACUUCGGUUUUGAAGACCGAGUUUCGAGAAACGUUUCGAAAAUUUUUUCAGAAAAUGUUUUGGAAAAAGCGUUUGUUUGUGAAGGAGUUUCUGAAGUGUGUUUUGAUGGAGAUAUGCUUUGUGCCGAAAAAGGCAAGUUUUAGUGGAAAUCGAUGUUUAACUUCAAUGUGGGUUUUUACUUUUGAGGUUUUUAAACAAAACCUUGGACUGUUUUAAACAGUUUUUCGAAGUUCGUCUAGAGUCUUGAUUUCCGAUUACAUGGGAGAUUUUAGGAAUUUCUUUACCAUGAAAUUCCGGUUCACUCCUUCGUAGUGAGAAAUGAUUGUUGCUAGUGUGUGUUCAUAUAAUUACAACUAUUCACGCGGUGUAGGGCCCGACUGGCCACCGGAUCCCCCUAAUGUAUACCGAGGUUGAAAGUUGUUAAUUUCUGAAUACAACUUGCGACAAAUAAAUGACUAUAGAGUUAUUCUCCGAACUUUGACUUCUUGUUGGUCGGAACUAUUGUUGUUCUUCCUUUGGAUCUCUUAAUCCGAAAACUGUUAUCCCUUCUUCUAAAAGUUGACUUAUGUUCCGACUUGUCUUUGUAAUUGAACUUGUGUUUGCGUGAUUUUCUAUCCUUUUGAAUGUUGUUAUAUUGUUGGAUUCACUUACCGAUUUGGUUGUUUGCCAUCGCUUUGUUCAGUGAAUCUGGUUCGUUAAAAAUUGUGCUUAUUGCUAUUAAAGUUGGACUUGCUAAUUGUUUCUUCCUUGGAUAUCCUGUCGAGUCUAGUUUACUUGAUUGCUUCCACAGACUCGAUUGUUGUGAUUUGUCUUAAAGUCUUUUCAAGUCCAACUGUUAUAUGUUUAUACAUUAUGUUGAAUUGAUUUAUGGAUUCACUUCCAAAUUGUGCAUAUUCACGUGAAUCCUGUUCAUUGAAAUAUUGAUCGAGCGUUCGGUUUAUGUUUUAGAGACUCGCGGCACUGUGACGUGCUUAAGCUGGUGAGGUGCAGCUUGGGGCGUUACAACUGCGAAAUUUUUAACUGUCGUCUGAUUAAAUGGGACGACAGCAAGAUUAAUUCUAUUGUGUUUGAUAGCAUCAGACAAUACUUCUUGUUGGGUAAGUGUGAUGUUGUCCCCGUUUCGUCAAGGCACAACAGAAUUAAACAUUGCUAUUGUCCAACUGACUACUUUCAGACAAGAGUUAUUGCUCUGAUGUUGUGCCACUUGA